AUUGAACGCUGGCGGCAUGCUUUACACAUGCAAGUCGAACGGCAGCGCGGGCUUCGGCCUGGCGGCGAGUGGCGAACGGGUGAGUAAUGCAUCGGAACGUGCCCAGUAUUUGGGGAUAGCCCGGCGAAAGCCGGAUUAAUACCGCAUACGACCUGAGGGUGAAAGCGGGGGACCGAAAGGCCUCGCGCUAUUGGAGCGGCCGAUGUCGGAUUAGCUAGUUGGUUGGGUAAAGGCUUACCAAGGCGACGAUCCGUAGCUGGUCUGAGAGGACGACCAGCCACACUGGGACUGAGACACGGUCCAGACUCCUACGGGAGGCAGCAGUGGGGAAUUUUGGACAAUGGGGGCAAGCCUGAUCCAGCAAUGCCGCGUGAGGGAAGAAGGCCUUCGGGUUGUAAACCGCUUUUGUUAGGGAAGAAAUAAUGUGGGCUAAUACACCGGGGGGAUGACGGUACCGGAAGAAUAAGCACCGGCUAACUACGUG
rnacentral:rRNA from 1 species